rnacentral:rRNA from 1 species
GCGCACCUGGGAUGAACUAGCAUGCGAGUCAUUGUAGUAAUACAAGGCAGACGGCUCAGUAACGCGUAGUCAAUCUACCCUAUAGACGAGAAUAACCUCGGGAAACUGAGAAUAAUACUCGAUAGAACACUAUGCCUGGAAUGGUUUGUGUUUGAAAUGAUUUAUCGCCGUAGGAUGGGACUGCGGCCUAUCAGUUUGUUGGUGAGGUAAUGGCCCACCAAGACUAUUACAGGUACGGGCUCUGAGAGGAGUGGCCCGGAGAUGGGUACUGAGACACGGACCCAGGCCCUAUGGGGCGCAGCAGGCGAGAAAACUUUGCAAUGUGCGAAAGCACGACAAGGUUAAUCCGAGUGGUUUCUGCUAAAGAAACCUUUUGUUAGUCCUAGAAACACUGAUGAAUAAGGGGUGGGCAAGUUCUGGUGUCAGCCGCCGCGGUAAAACCAGCACCUCAAGUGGUCAGGAUGAUUAUUGGGCCUAAAGCAUCCGUAGCCGGCUAUGUAAGUUUUCGGUUAAAUCUGUGCGCUUAACGUACAGGCUGCCGGGAAUACUGCAUAGCUAGGAAGUGGGAGAGGUAGACGGUACUCGGUAGGAAGGGGUAAAAUCCUUUGAUCUAUUGAUGACCACCUGUGGCGAAGGCGGUCUACCAGAACACGUCCGACGGUGAGGGAUGAAAGCUGGGGGAGCAAACCGGAUUAGAUACCCGGGUAGUCCCAGCUGUAAACUAUGCAAACUCAGUGAUGCAUUGGCUUGUGGCCAAUGCAGUGCUGCAGGGAAGCCGUUAAGUUUGCCGCCUGGGAAGUACGUACGCAAGUAUGAAACUUAAAGGAAUUGGCGGGGAGCACCACAAGGGGUGAAGCCUGCGGUUCAAUUGGAGUCAACGCCGGA